GCCUGGUUGGCUCAGUUGGUUAGAGCGCAAGUCUCAUAUGCUCAUAUGAGUGAUCAUUGAAUCACGUAAUCUUGAGGUCGUGAGUUCGACCCUCACACCGGGCA
rfam:Heterobasidion irregulare TC 32-1 unplaced genomic scaffold scaffold_01, whole genome shotgun sequence.